GCGGUGGAGCAUGUGGUUUAAUUCGAAGCAACGCGAAGAACCUUACCAGGUCUUGACAUACUCGUGCUAUUCCUAGAGAUAGGAAGUUCCUUCGGGACACGGGAUACAGGUGGUGCAUGGUUGUCGUCAGCUCGUGUCGUGAGAUGUUGGGUUAAGUCCCGCAACGAGCGCAACCCCUAUUGUUAGUUGCCAUCAUUAAGUUGGGCACUCUAACGAGACUGCCGGUGAUAAACCGGAGGAAGGUGGGGAUGACGUCAAAUCAUCAUGCCCCUUAUGACCUGGGCUACACACGUGCUACAAUGGAUGGUACAACGAGUCGCGAGACAGUGAUGUUUAGCUAAUCUCUUAAAACCAUUCUCAGUUCGGAUUGUAGGCUGCAACUCGCCUACAUGAAGUCGGAAUCGCUAGUAAUCGCGGAUCAGCACGCCGCGGUGAAUACGUUCCCGG
rnacentral:rRNA from 1 species